UCUCAGAACCUUUAGCUUCAUAAAGAUAUGGAUUUCGUUUUUCAAAAAGGAAAAUUUAUGAGUUGAUAUUUUAUUGUAUUUCCUAUAUCUCACAUGAGAGAUUUUAGCCAAAAUUUAGAAGCUGAAAUAAAAUAUUUUAAUUAUUAAGCAAUUACAAAUAUCACCCCCACUUAAUACAUUCUAGAGAAGAAAAAAAAAAUUUGACUAAUCAGAGUCAAAUGGUUCAUUUAAGUGAAAAAAACAGACAAAACUUGGAUAUCAGCCAGAAUUUUAUUUGGAGCACAUGAUACAGAAAUUAUAAUCUUAUCGACAUUGUAAGUAUAUUAAACAUGAAAAUGACAUACUGGAAUGUGUCACAAGUGUUUUCUUUUUUUUCAACGCUGGAAUAUAAAGCUAUCAACAUUUGGUCCAUUAACUAUCGAGUACUAUCACAGUAGAGAACAACAAUGUUUUAGAUCUUCAUUCAAAUUAAACUACAGAAAAUACGGAAAGAAAAAACCUCCAAAUCCCACACUUGAAACUGAAACCAAAUUUCAACACUAAAUGGCAUCAGAAUUACCAUUUAUCUAAGAUUUGAAAUUGGGGGGGGGGGGGAAAGAAUCGUAAAUUGCAAACAUUCCACGUUACAGAAAUAUUGCAUUCCUGAAAACCUUGCCAUUAUGUGAAAUUUCCAAAAAACACAAGACUUUUGCACCACAGUGCUCCACGUUAUAGCAAGAAUUUCAAAGGAAUGCAACACCUGUAACUUGGAAAAUACCAACAUAUUCAAAGUUUAUCUGCCACUUAGGUUUGCGUCCUUGUACGUUUAAUAGACAAUUUUGAGAUUAAAACAAAAUAGAUGUGAACACAAAUAACUGGAUGACUUAAUACAUGCAGUAUUCUAAGAAAAACUUAACAGUUUAAAUGGAGCGCUGUGUAAAAAAUUAGCAAUAUUUUAAAAUAGAUAUUACUGUAGUGAAAUGCCAAGUGGCAAUAUAAUGGUUUAAUUUUUAGCUAAGGUACUUAUACUUUCUCGCAUCCUAUCCACAAAAACUAGGCUAUUUCUCAUUUCCAAAAUCCAUAAAUUAAAACUGCUUUACAAGGAAGACAAAUUCAACUUUAUUCUAAAUUUAACAGAAUGUUGCAAUCCAGAAAAUAGAAGUUCCAGCAGCCAUAUUAUAAAGAAAAAAAGAAAAGCUUUUCAGUAUUAUUUAAGUAGCAAAUUUUUUUAAGGCACUAAGGCCAUUAUGCACAAGAACUGUCCAAAAAAUAAUGCAGAGGGGAACAGCAUGAUUAAAUGAAUAAUGCUAUGAAAUUAUCAAUUAUGUUUUGAAAGAGAUUACGAGUAUUAAUCAAAUGGGAACUAGAUAUAUUUCAACCAAAGCUUCAGGUUCAAUCACAACUAGAAACUUUCGAGUAAGGCUCUCAACAGGUUUACUUUUUCUUCAAUAAGUAAACAAAGAGCAAAGACAAACCAGAGAUGUCAAAAUUUAAAAAAAAAAAAGAAAAAAAAAAAGAAAAGUGAAGAAAGAAAAA